rnacentral:lncRNA from 1 species
CAAACCUGAGACUGGGUGACUCUUGCCUAGGCUCACAGAUCGAGCCUUCCCAGUGUUGCACUGGGACCCUAGGGUGGCCCUGGGGUGCCCAAGAGAUGCGCAAGCAUCUCGCGCCUUCCAAGCGAUCAGCGAGGAAAAACGGGGUCCAAAUUCGAGUAGAAUCUGCGGGUUGCGGGAAGAUGGCCUGCGAGUGCGGUGGGGGACAAUACCCUAGGGCCCCGUGCGCCCUCGCUUUCCCGGGGCACUCUCACCAUUUGUAGCCUCUGCCGCGCUUGAACUUGAGGGUGAGCGCAGUCUCCAGGAAGAGCAAGAGGUUGAGCAGCGCAAGCAGCCAGUACCGCGGCUCCUUCUUCACCUCGGUCACUCGCCAGACCCCGACCAGCGAGUGCAGCAGGAACAGCAACCGAGUGGCCAGGGCGUUAAGGAAGACCAGUCCCUCCAUGCUGGCCGGAGCACUCUGCCUACGUCCCCUUGCCUGCGCCCCCAGGACCCUGCCGGGCGUGCCCGGAGCCCACCGGUGAGCAGGAAUAUGACAAGCACUGAGACCUGCUGCUGCUUGUGGUCCCUUCUCACCCUCAGCGCCCGAUGCCGGUAGAACUGGUGCGCGGCUCGCCCCUCCCCCAAACUUCCUGAGAACUCUUCAAAGAGGGUUGUGAUUUGAAGAGUAACCUUCUUCAGAAAACUGUGGAGACUUCACAGAAAUGGCAGAAGCUAGUUGAAGUCUACAAAUUACCUAAUGGAACAGGUGUUAUUCCCAUGAGAUUCCCAAAUAAACUUCCUGCAUGCAAAUCUCCAUCUCAGCAUCUGUUUCCCUGAGGAGGAACCAACCUAAAAUGAAUUGCAAAUUAAAAUCUCAAAGUGAGUCAAAGCAACCAGAAUUUCCCUUCCCAAGAGGGGACCAGCCCCAUACCCAUGAGGAAAGGAUGCUACACAGAGAAGCCAAGAAGAGUCUGCAUGGAUAGGCCUUACUGGCUUCCUCACCUGAGUGUAUCACCAUUAAUUAGAUGAUACCUCUUUGUCCAAUCACAUUUCUACAUGGCUGUCCCCAGUUUAAGGACAAAAACAGACAGUCUCCCCUUGAGUCUUUGAGUCUUCAUUUUUGAAGGCUUCCAUGUCACAAAAAAAUCUUUGAUUAAAUAAAUUGAUGUUUUUCUCUUGUAAACUUGUAUUUUGUUAUAGGAGUAUCAGCUGUGACCCUUAUGAUGGGUGAGGAAAGUUAUCACACCCUUUCUGUCCCUACAACUCAAAUGAAGAUCUAAAACAUUUUCAGCACUUCAGAAGUUUUCCUGGUGCCCUAUCCUGGAUAGUAACCUUCCCUACCCCCUACAAAUAAGUGAAUAAGACAGAGACCGUGUCCUAGCUUUCAUGGAACUUAUGACCUACUGAGGA